AACGAACGCUGGCGGCAUGCCUAACACAUGCAAGUCGAACGAGACCUUCGGGUCUAGUGGCGCACGGGUGCGUAACGCGUGGGAACCUGCCCUUAGGUUCGGAAUAACUCCCCGAAAGGGGUGCUAAUACCGGAUAAUGUCUUCGGACCAAAGAUUUAUCGCCUUUGGAUGGGCCCGCGUUGGAUUAGCUAGUUGGUAGGGUAAAAGCCUACCAAGGCGACGAUACAUAGCUGGUCUGAGAGGAAGAUCAGCCACACUGGGACUGAGACACGGCCCAGACUCCUACGGGAAGGAGGAGUGGGGAAUAUUGGACAAUGGGCGAGAGCCUGAUCCAGCUAUGGCGCGUGAGUGAUGAAGGCCUUAGGGUUGUAAAGCUCUUUUACCCGGGAUGAUAAUGACGGUACCGGGAGAAUAAGCUCCGGCUAACUCCGUG
rnacentral:rRNA from 1 species